rnacentral:lncRNA from 1 species
UUGUCCCAACUAGGACAGAAGCUCAUUAUAACAGGUUACAAUGAUAAGAUAACAAUUAGAGUAAAGUACACGGAUUGUCCCUGUGGUUUACCAAAAUUUUGGAUUUAGUCCCUAAUUUUCUAAAAGUACAUGGAUGGUCCCUACGGUUUACCAAAAUUUUGGAUUUAGUCCCUAGUUUUCUAAAAAGUACACGGAUGGUCCCUGUGGUUUGCACUUUGUAACGCAUUUAGUCCCAACCGAAAAAUCAAUAGGUUUUAUCAUGUCUAAGUUAGGGACUAAAUGCAUUACAAAGUGCAAACCACAAGGACCAUCCUAGUACUUUUGGAAAAAGUUGGGGACUAAAUGCGUUACAAAGUGCAAACCCAACUUUUUCCAAAAGUACCAAGGAUGGUCCUUGUGGUUUGCACUUUGUAACGCAUUUAGUCCCUAACUUGGACAUGCUAAAACCUUUAGGUUUGUUGGUUGAGGACUAAAUGCGUUACAAAGAGCAAACCACAGGGACCAUGAAAAUAAUUAUUUUAUUUUAGAGAAAGGGUCUUGUUCCAGUACACCAACAAAAUUACUUCGCACACCACCGGGUUUUUGUGCAAUUGUACGAUUAGCGUAGAUAUCGCUCGUUGUGGUGUGGAAAUUAAUUUGUUAGUAUACGAAUUAUGAAAAACUUGAGAACCAUGAGCGGACUUUUAAAAUCUCAAGAACCAAACAGAAUAUAGCCGGUCAGGUUCGGUUUAUUGGUUUUGUUGGUACGGGCCGCGUAUGGGGAGAGGGCUCACCAAGUUCAUAUGCUUUGCCAGCCACCUUAGCUGCGAUAUGAGCAGAAAUCUUGCGGAUGUUAGUGAACGGUGGGUAUAUUAGUCCUUUGUCGAAAUGCUCCUGUGUAACCUGUUCAGCCAGAGCUUCGGCUGCUGCUAAAAGCAUGUCAUCAUGAACACGGAUUGCACCAGAAAUU